GUGAAAAUCGAGAGAGGAGUUUAAAUGGAAAAACAUGAAACAGUCUGAACAGCAAUCCUCGAUUUUGUCAACAAUCUAAAACGUGCUAAGGAGUAGUCAUUCGUCGAUUUACCUGCGGCUUCCAGAUGAUCUGAAGAUCAGGAAUAUAGAAAAUAUUGUCAAUUUGAUAUUACUAAUGACCCAGUCAAGUCUGCUGAAGCCCAGAAGGUACUUCUUUGUCAUGUAAUAAACUUACAACUUGCCUUCCAUAUGU